rnacentral:rRNA from 1 species
GCUUUAGUGGCGCAGCUAAACGCGAUAAGUAGACCGCCUGGGGAGUACGGUCGCAAAGACUAAAACUCAAAUGAAUUGACGGGGGCCCGCACAAGCGGUGGAGCAUGUGGUUUAAUUCGAUGCAACGCGAAGAACCUUACCUGGCCUUGACAUAGUAGAAACUUUCCAGAGAUGGAUUGGUGCCUUCGGGAAUCUACAUACAGGUGCUGCAUGACUGUCGUCAGCUCGUGUCGUGAGAUGUUGGGUUAAGUCCCGCAACGAGCGCAACCCUUUUCCUUACUUGCCAGCAUUUCGGAUGGGAACUUUAAGGAUACUGCCAGUGACAAACUGGAGGAAGGCGGGGACGACGUCAAGUCAUCAUGGCCCUUACGGCCAGGGCUACACACGUGCUACAAUGGUCGGUACAAAGGGUUGCUACCUAGCGAUAGGAUGCUAAUCUCAAAAAGCCGAUCGUAGUCCGGAUUGGAGUCUGCAACUCGACUCCAUGAAGUCGGAAUCGCUAGUAAUCGCGGAUCAUGAAAGGCGCGGUGAAUACGUUCCCGGGCCUUGUACACUCCCCUUAAAGGGGCCAUGGGAGUUUGUUGCACCAGAAGUAGCUAGCCUAACUGCAAAGAGGGCGUACCCCGUGC